rnacentral:lncRNA from 1 species
AACCUACAAGGACCCAAAAGAGCUUGGGUUCCUAAGUUGAAAAUCUGAAUAUUUUCUGUAGGUAUGUCUAGCACUCAAGGCUCCAACAAAAGAUGCUAAUUUAGAAAUUGGGUGCUCUAGACAUAUAUUAAAGAAUGAAACUUAAAAUAUACUUUAGAAAAAUAAUUGAAAUGAAAAGAAUAAUGAAAUUAGUAAUCCUUGCAUCUUAUCAUUCUCUUUGCCUUAGUAUCUAAUUAAAACAUAAAUUGGAGGUAUUAAUCAAUUUUGUGAUAUAGGUAAUAUUUUUAAAAAUAUAAUCAAAUCACUUUAUUUUAUAGUAUGCCUUAUUUACUGCUGGAUAAGUUGCUAAAUGAUUAAUCAAUUUAUUAAGAAUAACUUUAUGAAUUCUCUAUAUGCUUGAUUGAGAGUUUUUAUCAAUGGUAUUAUCUUAUUGAUCAUAGACAUGAGAAUGUAUACUUGGUAUGCCUUUAAAUAUAUGCACUAUGAAUACCAAGAUUAAAGAAACCACUUUUGGCAUAUAAAAUCAACUCAUACUAGUAUGGACUUAAUCACAAAAGACCUUGUCAUUGGUUCACUUAGAUUAAUUUUUGCAAGGUCAAAGUUUGCUAUGUAUGUCAUCUAG